CUUGUACUUUAAACGAUGUUUACUAUAAAUUUUAAAAACAAUUACUUGAUUGAGUUUUAGGUAUAAUUAGGACUUGAAUUUAAGGAAUAUUUAUAGUUUUAAGAUUUGAUGAACAAGCUAGAUUAGAACCUAGUUAGACAAAAAUUAAAAGAGCAGAAGUAAAGUUGUAUUUAAACUGUAAGGAUAUUGGCAGGUAUUUUAAAUUAUCUUUGGAGGCUGAGUAAUAAAUGAGAACCCUCAUUAGCUGCUUAAACUGUAUUCGCGUGUAUGAUCGUUUAUUUUAAUCUUAAAGGUAUUAAUAAUAGAUAUUUCUCUGUAAAAAUAGAUAAAUACCCGGUAAAUGUUUAAAGUAAAAUUUGGCCUACAAUAUUUUAUAAUGUGGAUAAUACUUUUAGCAGAGUAUUUGAAAAUGGAAAAGACAGUAAAAAAUUCUUGAUGUGUUUUUGAAGAAUGUCUAGAUAC
rnacentral:rRNA from 1 species